GGAAGGGGGAAGGGGGAAGGAGAUACGAGCUCGUCUUCAGGCUCAUGGGUCUAGCCCAUACCGUUUCCUGGUUGCAUAUCGAUCGCCUGUCGAAGUUCUUUCGAGAAACGCUGGAGCGUGGACGGAACAGACCCUUUGCUGGGAAAAAUGACGAGCGUGGAACGGGAGCUAAUGGUGUCGGGGUUCAUCUGGUUCGUCCUGACUUCCGGUCCCUUCUCUAGGGUUCUCUCCAACAUGGAAGGUUGAUGACUACCACUCAACUCUGAGAUUGGUCUACGGGAUAGUGCCUUUGGGGCAGUAUGUUGAUCUCGAAGGAUUGUGAGAAGUUCAUCUUUGGUGAGUGUGAAGGUUGUCGAGCUACAACACUCAUAAUACCUCAUUGUUGCUUUCAUAUAGUAUGCUUUACUACUUACACUUUUAUUGCUAACCAUAUUGCUACGUUAUCCUAGCAGCUAUUUUCCUA